rnacentral:piRNA from 1 species
UAUUACGUUUUUGAAAUUGGU